CGAUUACUGCCCGGAAAAUAUAUUUAAUGUUAAAUCGGUCGAAAAACCUAUAAGAGUAAAUAAAUUUAGUACUUUUUCUUCUUUUUUAGGAAUUUAAUAUUUAUUUAGCUAUGGACAUAAGUUUAUAUUCACUGCGUAUUUUCAUAUAAUUGAUUAAAAUUUUUAAUAUCUUUUAAAACUGAUUUAUAAAUGCAUCCAUAUCGUCCUAAAAUGUAAUGUAACUCUCAC